AGGGCUGUGGCUAAGUGGUAGAGCAUCUGCCUUGCAUGCAAGAGGUCCCCAGUUCAAUCCUUGGCAUCUCUA